rnacentral:rRNA from 1 species
UACGAAGGGGGCUAGCGUUGCUCGGAAUCACUGGGCGUAAAGCGCACGUAGGCGGAUUGUUAAGUCAGGGGUGAAAUCCUGGAGCUCAACUCCAGAACUGCCUUUGAUACUGGCGAUCUUGAGUCCGGGAGAGGUGAGUGGAACUGCGAGUGUAGAGGUGAAAUGCGUAGAUAUCUAAGAGGAACGCCUGAGGCGAAAGCGGGGGCACUGGGCCGAUUCUGACGCUGAGACGCGAAAGCGUGGGGAGCAAACAGG